AGCAUGGUGUAGUCGUUUGAGUGUUGGACUAUGAUUCGGAAGGCCCGGGUUCAAAUCCCAGCCAUGUAA